AGGAACGAUCGCAGCAGAUAGAACACGAACGAAUGAAAGGCAGAUGCGGACGAACAACGACGGGCAACAAGGAAGCACGAAGGUGGCGGCGCUGCUUCCGGUUCCUUGCUCGUCGCAGGUCUCGAAGAGGACCGAAGGAAGAAGAAGCUCACAGGAGGCUAAUCCGGAUGUCUUGGUCGAUUAAUCACGAAGAGGGAGGCGUCUCCGGGGUCUACGAGGCCGGAGAAUGAAAAGAGAAGCAGCGAGGCUGCGCUCUUCUCGUCCGGCUGCAAGGUGCGAAGGAAAGGGAGUCCGGUGACGCGUCGCAAGCAGCAGCAGCAACGAAGACGAGACCUUCGGAGGUCGUUGUUCGCUAGGAACUAAAGAGAGAAUACGAGGGGAGGAGGUCAGAAGAAGGUUUCGGGAGGAGGUAGGCAGCAGCGAGGGCCGACGGGAAAGAAAAUGGAAAGGGUCUCCGUUAAUCGAAGGAGACAAACGGGUAAGGAAAAGAGGUGUUUGUGGGUGGUGUUUCUCGAUGGCAGAAGGAAGAACCAAAGUGAAAAUCGGGAUGCUGAUUGAACUCAAUGGCAUAACUCCAAGGGAACAAGGAAGAGGAGGGAUGGGUUCAUAUCUUGUAUUGAGUCUUCAUCAGUAGGAGAAGGAGAAAAGAAGAAGGCAUGUGAUUUCUCUUUUACAUGUGGUUAUGUGCAAGGUGAAGAGUGGAAGGAACCUUUUGACUUUAGACUUUAGUAUUGUGUACUUAUGAAUCUUUGAAGGAUCUUGGAGAGUACAAACUCUAUAGCUUGAUGUGUGCAUAUUUCCAUACAUUGUUGGUCCUAUGUGAAUGUACUUACACAUGUGUAUGUAUGUUUUUAGGUAUUUUGGUAACAAUUUCAUAU